rnacentral:rRNA from 1 species
ACCCACAGCCAUAUCACCCUGCAGCCCAAGACUGGCAAAUGACUGAAGCAGCGCUGAGCCUGGUCAGUACCUGGAUGGGAGACCACAUGGGAAAACUAGGUUGCUGUUGGAC